rnacentral:rRNA from 1 species
CCCUUAGAUGUUCUAGGCUGCACGCGCGCUACACUGAAGCUAUCAACACGUUUUCCCUCCCUGAGAAGGGCGGGUAACCUUUUGAAUCAGCUUCGUGGUAGGGAUCGGGGCUUGCAAUUGUUCCCCGUGAACCAGGAAUUCCUAGUAGACGCGAGUCAUAAGCUCGCAUCGAUUAAGUCCCUGCCCUUUGUACACACCGCCCGUCGCUACUACCGAUUGAACGUUUUAGUGAGGCAUUUGGACCGACGCAUCUCAGUUUAACCGCUGGUUUGUGUUGGAAAGACUUCCAAACUUGAGCGUUUAGAGGAAGUAAAAGUCGUAACA